GAUGAACGCUAGCGGGAGGCCUAACACAUGCAAGCCGAGCGGUAUUGUUUCUUCGGAAAUGAGAGAGCGGCGUACGGGUGCGGAACACGUGUGCAACCUGCCUUUAUCUGGGGGGAUAGCCUUUCGAAAGGAAGAUUAAUACUCCAUAAUAUAUUGAACGGCAUCGUUUAAUAUUGAAAGCUCCGGCGGAUAGAGAUGGGCACGCGCAAGAUUAGCUAGUUGGUGAGGUAACGGCUCACCAAGGCAAUGAUCUUUAGGGGGCCUGAGAGGGUGAUCCCCCACACUGGUACUGAGACACGGACCAGACUCCUACGGGAGGCAGCAGUGGGGAAUUUUGGACAAUGGGCGCAAGCCUGAUCCAGCCAUGCCGCGUGAGUGAAGAAGGCC
rnacentral:rRNA from 1 species